AUUCCCUAUAUUUUCAUUAAACAUAUAAAGCUAAUGUUUAGAAACAUAUACAUUUUUGUAAUAUUUAUUUUAUAUAUAUAUAUAUAUAAACGUUGGUUUCAACGUGUCAGCGUAGGUGUCAAUCAAUUUCAAGUUGAGGGUAUAUUUGACUUUCACUAUUAAGUUUACGUGUCUUUUAUCCUUCGCCUAAAUAGACACGUAUCACGCCCUUUCUACAUCUUCCACUCCAGUACUUCUCUGUUCGGCUUUUUCAUGCUCUUUCUCUGUUGAUUUGUACAUUGAAUUCUGAGUAAUAAUAAUAGAAAGGAACUACAAACUUUUCUUAUACAUAAGCCAGACACGGAUUUCGUGGGAAGAAGUAGGGUUCUGAAAAGAGCGAUGAUGGUGAUAGGCUGAUUUUAUCACUUUAAGCCUAUAAGCAUUUUCCCACAAUAAUCUGCAAGAAAAUAUGUGUCGAUUGUAUUAAUUUCUGUGCGAAGUCUGCUCGAUCCUCAUUUUGAGCAUUGAAAAAUGCUCUCCCCCUCUCUUAUGAUCGUCAUGAAAGAGUUUUGUUUGAAUUAUUAGAGUUUAGGAAGUGGUUCGUUGUGCUAUUUAUUCAGUCUUAGAAUAUCAAUUAGUCAAACUGAAAUUAAGUAGAAAUUAGAAGAUAUGCUUUGGGCCAUUUUUUGAUUGGGGAUUUAUGAAGAGAAUCUGGGCUUCUUUUUUUUUUUUUAGAUUUUAAAAAAAUAAGAUAAUCUGAUGUUGGAAUUAUUUGUCUGCCCCUAACUUGGAUGAGUAUCUAUUUUGCUCUGAGCAAGGACAUAAACUAUAUAUGGUGAAAUUGUUUCAGUUUUUGUUUCAUUCAGUAUCCUAUUUUGUCACUCAUGAGUAUUACUGUUGUCCAGAGAAGCUUGGCGUUGCAAGGAGGAGGGAGAUCCGCAAUCGGUGAUAGGAGGAAAGUAAACAAGAAUGAUAGUGGUAGCAAGGUGGGAGGUCAUCCUUUGCGAUGCCUCCUGGAUUUAAUAACUUGAAAAAAGCUAAGAGCGAGAACGAGACGGAUAAAUUGCAGGGUUUAAUGGAAUGGGGCGGUGAUGGGCUCAUCGGUUUGCCAAGACUAGGACUGGGUAGUAAAAAGAAGAGCAUUGCUAAGAUGUUCCAGGCAAGGCAAAUGAACAAGAAGUUGCUGAAAGCAAUGAAGACCUUUACUUUAGAAUAUUGAUUCAUUGUUUUUGGACCUUUUAGAUGUUCUGUGAAACUUUUACUUCGGAAACUUUUGUAAACUUACACUAUGUUAACUCAUGAAUUGUCAAACAAUAUUGUAUAUUUCACUUUUACAUGUGAAUAAUACUAAUCGGAUGAUUUGGAUUAUGACUUUGUUGAUGAACAUUUUACUGUCGCAGUCUAUAUAAAUUUUAUUGUA